GCCCACUCAUGUGAUACAGGAUAAUCUCUGCAUCACAGAAUCCUUAACCACACAUGCAAAAUCUAUGUUACCAAAUAGAGUAACAUUCACAGGUUCCAAGCAGCAGGAUACAGCAUUUUUGGGUCACCAGUUUUCUGCCUACCACAUGUUCGGAGGUACUGACUUUUCAAUGAUGUGUCUUAAGAUGGAUCUAUUGCUAUUCAUAGGACUGGGAACAUGGUCACAUGGAGAAAACUGAGGACCAGCGAAGUGGCCUGCAGAAGUAACAAACUCCUUAACAAGUGCUAUGGCACCAGCUCAUCAGAAUGGACACUGGCUUUAAUGACUUUUGCAUUUCUGAAACCAGAUGACUUCACUGGAUGACUCCACUGAGACCCAAGACUCAAGACCCGACCAGUCCUGUGGCCCUCACGUCUACACAGUAUGUGUGAGGUUCAAUCUGACUAUCCAUCCUUUAUGGAAAUGCUACAUUACACAUUAACUCAAAGGCUGAGAAUCCAUUAAGUCAAGGCCUGCCAGGGAUUUUUCUAUGAGGCCCUAAACCAUGGUCUCUGCCAACAACUCCUCCAUCUCCCCAUGGCUCUCAAGAAAUAGAACUGCUCCAUCCUGAAGAUCCCUUGGAGCCUGUUGAGUUUUGUGGAAAAGAAAAUCACAUAAAGUUUUCUCCGUGACACACCUAGCAAGGCAUUUUCAAGUCCAAUUUAUUUACACAGGCCUAGCAGUACCCUGGAGAAUGCAUAUUUUCAUAUUUUCUCCCACUGUAUUGAACCCAUGCUUUGUAGCAGAUGUCAUAGAGCUGAUAUCGCAGAUAGCCAAGCUUUGCUGUAGAAGCAUGUGAAAAGACAGACAUCCAAAGAAACAUUGCAAAUGUGUACUACAUUAUCAAACUCUCCAAAUUUAGGCUUAUUCCUAGAAUACAAAUAUUUCUCAACCCAGCAGGCAGCCAGGUGCCCGCAAAUCCUGAAAUUAUAAAAACUUUGGCCAAGUUGAUUUACUUCUGCGGUCUCUUGUUGAAAAAUGUGUUGAUUCACAUUAAUGGCUUGAUGAAGGGGGGACUGGAGGACUAGAGGUAUCAGGGUGAAUAGGACUUGAUGGGUUUUGCUCUGUAAUCAGAGUGUCACUCAAUCAGAGUGUGUGGC
rnacentral:lncRNA from 1 species